GAUGAAAGAACGUAGCGAAAUGCGAUAAGUAAUGUGAAUUGCAGAAUUCAGUGAAUCAUCGAAUCUUUGAACGCACAUUGCGCCCGCCAGUAUUCUGGCGGGCAUGCCUGUUCGAGCGUCAUUUCAACCCUCAGGACCCUUUGGACCUGGUGUUGGGGCUCGGCCGCUACCCCGCGGCCGUCCCCGAAAGAUAGUGGCGGUCUCGCUGUAGCGUCCUCUGCGUAGUAAUUACACCUCGCACUGGAACGCGGCGCGGCCACGCCGUUAAACACCCCACUUCUCAAGGUUGACCUCGGAUCAGGUAGGAAUACCCGCUGAACUUAAGCAUAUCAAUAAGCGGAGGA
rnacentral:misc_RNA from 1 species